CAAAUCUGGAAAUAUUCCAGAUCCCAAAACACAGCACCUAGGCGCAGACUGAAAUACAAAGACAUGCAGAUUCUAAGACAAAUUUGAAAUAAAAUAAAAUGUAAAUAAAGAUCAAUUUAAAGGUCUGUAUGAAGACGAAGGACUAGUCGCGCAAUUUGACCACUUGAAGUGCCAAACUGCGGAUCCAACACAUGGAUCGGGUUUGCGCGCGGAUCUUCCCAACUCUACACAGCACCGUUUCAACCUCAGCACAAAAUCAAGCCUAAAAAACCCUAAAAUCCCACAUUCAAAAACUUAAGAACAAAUUAAAAUAAAAAACCUAUAAUCUAUCUCCCUUAUUCAUUCGGUCGAACAUUAGGCACCUUUCAACUGCCAUUUGGCCUUUGUAUUUGGCCGGCAGUCAUCAAGCGAAGGCUAAAUCUGGUCUUGUUCGACCACAAAUCCAAGAGCCUUGCUCAAAAGCUUCAAGAUCCUCUUUUAGGCUUCGAUUACGACGAAGCAAGCAAGGACAUGAAGGAGCCAACAUUAAGUUCGUUUCAGGUGUGCAUGGCGUGGAGGAGCUAUUCUUGGGCGUGGAGCGUGGCGCGCGUGGAAGAAUCGGUUGGAGGCUGCAACGACUGAAGCUUCUAGUGACCUAGGGUUUCUGCCGAAAAGAUUCAUUAAUGUUUUGGGCUUGGGUAAUGAGUUAUUCAGGUUAGUUGGGUUAUAUUUUUAGGUUAAAUUUAUUAUCGGGUUUGGAGAUUUAUUUGGGUUAAUUGGGUUAUUUUAUUUUUUGUAAAAGAAUUUGGACUUUGACUCAUUUUGGGCCAUUUAUUAUUUUUUCUUUUGUUUUUUUAUAUUUAUUAUUUUUGGUUUAUAAUGGGCCGGGCGAAUUGGGCCUAUUACAUAUGGAAAA